rnacentral:rRNA from 1 species
GGGGAAUAUUGGACAAUGGGCGAAAGCCUGAUCCAGCCAUGCCGCGUGUGUGAAGAAGGCCUUUUGGUUGUAAAGCACUUUAAGUGGGGAGGAAAAGCUUGUGGUUAAUACCCAUAAGCCCUGACGUUACCCACAGAAUAAGCACCGGCUAACUCUGUGCCAGCAGCCGCGGUAAUACAGAGGGUGCAAGCGUUAAUCGGAAUUACUGGGCGUAAAGCGCGCGUAGGUGGUUAUUUAAGUCAGAUGUGAAAGCCCCGGGCUUAACCUGGGAACUGCAUCUGAUACUGGAUAACUAGAGUAGGUGAGAGGGGAGUAGAAUUCCAGGUGUAGCGGUGAAAUGCGUAGAGAUCUGGAGGAAUACCGAUGGCGAAGGCAGCUCCCUGGCAUCAUACUGACACUGAGGUGCGCAAGCGUGGGUAGCAAACAGGAUUAGAUACCCUGGUAGUCCACGCCGUAAACGAUGUCUACCAGUCGUUGGGUCUUUUAAAGACUUAGUGACGCAGUUAACGCAAUAAGUAGACCGCCUGGGGAGUACGGCCGCAAGGUUA